UUCCUGUGAAAUAAAUAUAUUAGUUUCAUUUUGGAGUUGAUACAUUGGACUCGUACUUGUACUCUUUGAUUCAGGUUAUCAUGUAUAGUAUUUAUUUUGAUAAUUGUAGAGCGGUACAUGUUGCUACCUUCUUUUUGAGACCUCGUGACUAUAAUUUGAUUUGGUUCAACAUGUACAUAUAGAACCCUUUUGUUGGUAUUAUGUCGCAUUUGUUGUGACAUAGUCUUUUUGUUAGAAUAUACCGUAGGUUAUACCUGAGCUAUAACCACCUGUGGGGGUACCACAGGCAUGUCAUCUUGGCACGAGAGGCAUGACACUUUCCGUGGCGGUGUGAUUAGUCCACGGCGUCUCCGUUUUGGGCUCCGGAGGAAGUGGGCCAUUUGAUGUUUUGUUGUGGGAGGCGUAUUGGUUAACUCUAGUUUUCUGUUCUGCGGAUUGGUGAUGUUGUGCCAAACACACCUAUCCGAUUUGCAUACAUUUGGAUUCGCAGUCCAAUGAGUGAUUUGCCUGUGUGGCAUUAUUUUGACUUGCCUGUGUGGCAUUAUUUUGAUGUGCCUUUGUGGCAUCAUUUGAUUUGCCUGUGUGGCAUUAUUUUGACUUGCUUGUGUGGCAAGGUAUAUUUCUGAGCUCAUUCGAUAUGAAAUAACUCCAACAAUUUUUUUCUGCCUAUUAUUUUAUUGGAUUAGUUUUGUUGGUUUCUGUUCAGUUCAAGUCAUUGAGUUAGUUACUUCAAUUCGUUAUUUCUUUACUCUUCUAUUUGUUUCGUCAAUUACAUUGAUUCAGAUAUAUUCCAUUCAGAUCUUUGGAUAUUAUAUUUUCGUUCAUAUUUGCACUUGAGGCUUUGUUCAGUAUUUUGUCUCAGUUGUUUUCCUAUAUCAGUUGUAUAUCUUUUGUAUAUCUGUAUCCGUACUGGGCAAUUGGCUCAUGAUGUAUUUUUCUUCCGGCAGGUUUGCAGGGGUGAUUAAGGGCUAGUGUGAUGAGAGUGUUGCCUUUGACCAUCUAGGUUAAUUCAAUUUUUUUUGUGUUGAUUAUUUUGACUCUAGUUGGAGAAUUGUAUUUAGUACCUUAUUAAUGGACACCACUAUUAAUAUUUUGAGGUUGCUAGUGCUCUGUUUAUUUAUUUUGAGAUUUGUUGUGCUUUGCACGUGACCUCCCUUUCCUUUUCGGGAAGGGGGUGUUAAAGAGAUGGUAUCAAAGCUUAGGUUCUUUCUUGUAGAAAACCUAUUUAGGUUUGACCUGUGAGGUUGUGGGUAAAUCAUUGGGUAGACGUAGGAGUUUGAUUUGAUUUUGUUCUUUGUUUGGUUGGUCUUAAUUUUGACCAAGUGUUUUUAGCUCUUUAAAUUGUAGUUGAUUUGAGAAAGGCGAGUAACUUGUUAAGAUUAUUAUUGUUAUAUGCGUUGGAGCAAUAAUAUUAGUUAAGGAUUGUGACUUGAUCAUUAAGGAGAAUAAUGUCAUAUUUUGUUCAGUUAAUAAAUGAUUAUACGAUUAUGAUAUGAGCAUUUGUAUCAGUAAGUUUUGAUAUUGGAGAAUUAUUUGUUAAUAGUUAUUUCAGGUAAUUACAAAGUAUUAUGAUUUUGGAAUUAAGGAUUUUAUUUGGGUUAGAUUCUUAUUUUUGUUAAGUUGUGAUUAAUUUGAGGUAUGUGAAUCGGUGAGAUAAUAUGAUAAGGUGAAAACUAUUAAGUACAAAGGAUCUCUUGUAAUUUUGAGUUGUUGUAAAGAUUCGAGGUAAUUAGAUUAAUCUUUUGGAGUAAAUGAAUUUUGCGAUUAAUUUCUAGUGGAAUAUUGGAGUUAUCUUAUAUGAAAUUUUGAGUGAUAGUAUGAGGAGAUAUAGAAAUUUGUUGGGUUAAUAUUUGAAUUAAGAGAAUGAUUGAUUCAUUGAAUGAUUAGAUAGUAAGUGAUGAAUUCAAUUGAUUUUGAGAGAUCUUGAAUAAUUGUAGUUUGCUUAUACAGAUAGUAAAAUAUGUGACUUGGAGUUUGAUAUGGGUGAUAAGGAGAUCUUGGUAGUAUAUUUUUGGUGAAAUAAUAUUUGAGAACUAAUUUGAUUUGAGGUUAUGAUAUUUUGAAAUUCUUGAGGGCUUAGGGAGAGUUAGUAAUAUAGUUUGCAUAAUUUUUUUGUUUAUCCGAUGUCAUUGAAAUUUUGCAUGAAUUUAUGUAAAAUUUAAUAAAAAUAUUUUGUUAGAUCUUUGUCAUGUGUGGAAUAUAAACGUUUUACGAAUUAAAAAUAAUUUUAAAUAUUUUGGGUAUUCGAAUCGUAUUUAGACGAAGAUAAAUUUUUGUGAUUUUGAAUUAUUUUCCGAAGAGUACAUUUACAAGAAUGAAACUCAAAGAUAUUAGCGACGACCCGCACCAAUGGUAGAUCAUGUGAUCUAAUUUGAUGCAACGCGAAGAACCUUACCAAGGCUUGACACGGUAGCUGACGAAUCUUUUACAAGUACAUAUAUAAUUACGUGGACCGAUGACUUAUCCGCGUUGAUCGUUACAAAUGGCGGCGCUACGUCUUAACUAAAAUUUAUGAAUAAUUAUGUAAUUUAAAUAAAAAUAUUUUUCUUUGUAAGUUAUUUGAAUUCCGAGGACGGAAUUAUUUUUAAGGGGUGAAAAAUGUAAUAACUCAUUUUUUUUAUCAAAUAAUAAUUGAUUUUAUCUUAUACAAUUGUGUUUAAAUUGGAAAAGGUAAAUGAUUUUGUUUCCCUCUUUUCUUCCUUGUUUUGUUUGGAAAAUUAAAUUCUUUUAGUAGAUAAUUAAAUAACUGAUUAAUUAAAAUUGAGAAAGAUAAUUUCUUUUGUUAAAGUCUUGUGGUAAAAUUAUACGGAGCGUGAAGCUACUUAGGAGAUAGAGGAGUCUAUUCAAGUGGAGUAGGCAUCUUUUGAUAAUUAGGUACGUUCAUUCUUUUGAUUCCGGGGAUGGAAUCCUUUUUAAGGGGUAGGUGAUGUAAUACCCGGAAGAAAAAAAUAUUAAGUAAUAAAAAAUAUUUUGUUUUAAAACAUAUUAAUUGGACUUUGUCAUUUAUUUGGGUCAAACUAAUUAUUUAAUUUGUGUGGGCUAAUAAUAUUAAUAAGUAUGGAUAAAUUAAUUUGAUAAAAUUGGGCUUUGAAAUUAAUUGGGUUUAAAUUAUAUGUGGAUAAUAAAUCCUAUUAGAACUAGGAGAAUUAAUUAAAUAUUGAUAAUAAAUAACUAAAACACAAACCCUAUUAUAUACUCAAGCCAUUAUUCGUCUGAAAGAAAAAGAAGAGGCGACACUGUGAAGAUUAGGAAUUGAAUCCUUUUUGUUAUACAUGUAAGUCUGUUAAUUUGUGGUUUCUUAUUAAAAUUAUUGAGUAUAAUAUUCAUAUAUAUGUAUAUAUAUGUGUGUUAUCAGACUUCUUCUUGCACAAAAUUAGAGGUGUUUUAAUAGAAAUUUUACUAUUAUUGAUGGUACACAUGAUUGAUUAGACUAAUUAUGCAUAUGUAUAUAUAAGUUUGCCAAGUUAUUGUUGGAUUAGAUUACAUUGGAUUAUAUUUAUAUAUAUAUUGAGCAUGUAAAAAAAACAUUAAAAGGAUGAUUUAAAAAAACUACUGUAUGUUGCUAUAUAUAAUAAGGUACGGUUUUGUUUAAAAAAAAAAAAAAAAGCUUUCCGAAUCAUGAUUAAGUUUUCUACAGGUUAACCACCACUGACUCAUGAUAUAUAUACUUAUAUAACAUUAUUACUUUAUUGAUUGAAUAAAGUUUAUUAUAUAUAUAAUAUCUUUAGGUUAUUAAUUUGUUAAAGUAUAAUAAAAAGGGAAAAAAUGAUUAGAAGAUAAAUUAUAAAUUAAUUAAAGUUAUUUUGUAAAAUUGAUGUAAUUGGAGAAUCAAUUUCAUAUUAUAUAAAUUAUAAUUAGUAAGUAACUUAUAAUUGUAUUAUUAUUACCUUUUUAUUUGAUCGGACGGAGGGAAUUUAAAGAGUUAUUUUUGGAAUAUAAAUUUUGGAGUAUUAGUAAUUGAUAAAAGGCGAUGAUUAAAGGCAUAUUAAAUAGAUUAUGAAUUAUUUUAGAAUUAUUAGUUUGAAUUGUUUUUAAUUUGAGGUGAAUAUGUUUAGGUUGCGAAUAACGUUUCGUAUUUGUUUUCAUUGGCAAUUGAGGGUAAGAUUUUGUGGAGUGUGCUAUAAAUGGUUUGGAAGUAUCAGGUACGGAUUCCGUACUCUUUCUACGAUACUCUUGUUAAAUUUGAUUUGUUCGUUUUGUCGCUUGUUCGAAUUUCGUUAUUAUUUCACAUAAUUAUUUCCUGUGAAAUAAAUAUAUUAGUUUCAUUUUGGAGUUGAUACAUUGGACUCGUACUUGUACUCUUUGAAUCAGGUUAUCAUGUAUAGUAUUUAUUUUGAUAAUUGUAGAGCGGUACAUGUUGCUACCUUCUUUUUGAGACAUCGUGACUAUAAUUUGAUUUGGUUCAACAUGUACAUAGAGAACCCUUUUGUUGGUAUUAUGUCGCAUUUGUUGUGACAUAGUCUUUUUGUUAGAAUAUACCGUAGGGUAUACCUGAGCUAUAACCACCUGUGGGGGUACCACAAGCAUGUCGUCUUGGCACUAGAGGCAUGACACUUUUCGUGGCGGUGUGAUUAGUCCACGGCGUCUCCGUUUUGAGCUCCGGAGGAAGUGGGCCAUUUGGUGUUUUG
rnacentral:lncRNA from 1 species